UGUCUGCCGUUAUUCACUGGCAAGUUCUGUGAGAGAAUACUGAAUCCAUGUGAAUUAUUGCCUUGUUUAAACAAUGCAACCUGUGUAUCUCAACAGCAGAACUAUAAAUGCCGCUGCAUGCCAGGAUUCACGGGAAAGAACUGUGAGGAAGUAAUUGACUACUGCAGGCUGCUCAGCGUCAACUGUCUGAAUGAAGGAUUGUGUCUUAAUAUAAUUGGAGGAUUCACUUGUCUCUGUGCACCUGGCUGGACUGGAGAAUUUUGCCAAGUUGCUGAAAAUGCAUGUUUAAUUUACCCAAACAAUUGUUCUAAUGGAUCUACUUGCAUCAAUAUGAGCCAACUGGGAGAGCAACCUUUGUUUCAAUGCUUGUGUCCU